UACGUAGGGGGCGAGCGUUGUCCGGAUUUAUUGGGCGUAAAGAGCGUGUAGGCGGCCAGGUAGGUCUGCUGUGAAAACUCGAGGCUCAACCUCGAGACGUCGGCGGAAACCAUCUGGCUAGAGUCCGGAAGAGGAGAGCGGAAUUCCUGGUGUAGCGGUGGAAUGCGCAGAUAUCAGGAAGAACACCCGUGGCGAAGGCGGCUCUCUGGGACGGUACUGACGCUGAGACGCGAAAGCGUGGGGAGCGAACAGG
rnacentral:rRNA from 1 species